AGACUUUUCCUCUAUUAUAUAGGAAAUAGUUUCAAUAGAAAAUUUCACUCUCGCUUACUGUCUCGCCUGUAUACAGUAUCGGAGCAUAUUCUUCUUCUCCAUGGCUUCCGCUUCCAAGCACCAAAACCCAUAUUCUUCUUCAAAACCUCCCAAACCCCCAAACCCCAACACCCACACUGACACCGCAAAUUCUCCUAUCAUCACUCUCACUCCUUCCCAAGAACACCUCUUCCUCACACGCGCCACCCACCUGACACGCCAAGAACUCCUCCGCCGCCGCUCCCACUACCUCAAACAGCUCUGCAAAUGCUACAGAGUCCACUUUUGGGCUCUCAUGGACCAACUCAGAUUCCAAUUCAGACAAUACUGCUGGGACUAUGGUCUCAGCCCCUUCUUAAACGAACAACACACGGCUGAAUUUGACGGAGAGAGAGACACCCAAUUUGCCAAUCUUGAAGGCAAUGAAGUAUACAGCAGCAACAACCAGAGGUGUGCGUUUCUGGGGUGUAAGUUGAAGUCCAUGCCUUUGACCAGCUUUUGCCAUCUCCAUAUUCUCUCUGAUUCCAAACAGAAGCUUUACAAGCCUUGCCAUUAUGUUAUCAAGAGUGCUCAGGCGGGACCAAUAACAUGUGGGAAGCCCAUAAUGAGAUCCACUGUACCUUCUCUCUGUAGCAUCCACUUCCAAAAGACUCAGAAGAAUGUCACAAGAGCCUUGAAGAAGGCUGGACUUAAUGUUUCCACAUCAAGUAAGCUUGCUUCCAAUUUCCAUGUCAUUGUGGCAGAAUAUGUACGCCAAAUUCAGGCCAAACGGAGGACUGCAAAAAGGGCAAAUAGAAGUAAGGUAGUGGUUAAGGAAGAAAUUGCUGGCUGAGCCUCAUGUCUAUUUACCCCUGGUGCAUGAGUGAUUCUAAAUGAUGGGAAACCUCCGGAGUUGAACUGCUGGCUUGCAACUGCAACAAAGUUGAAGCGUUCAUGUGUUUUUUUGUCAAAUAAAUGUUCGAAGUUGGGAGGUUUUAGGACAUUUGCGGAUUCAUCAAAGAUGCUGCCUGCUUUGCUGGUCAAUUCUGUUGGAUGUUGAACAUUGGGUAUCAAGCAUUUUAAACCUGUGCUUAAAUUCCUCCAUCUUGCCUGUAGAAAAUUAGUUUUGACUUAGUAUUGAUUGCUAUUGAAUGUUCGGUAUGUUGAGUCGCACGAAAUGAUGUAUAUAGCUAUUUAAUUUGUGAAGGAGGUCUUGUGGGAACUCCCUCUCUCUCUUGUAUAUAUUUGGGUGGCCCUGUGUUGGCACAAUGGAAUGAUGAUGCAUCACUAACAGAGCACUCAAGUGGCACUAAGAUGGUAUGAAAAAAAAUGAGCUUCACUCAAAUGCAAUUGGCAGGGAAUAUUUGGAUUUUGUGUUCUGUGAUAAAUAGUGCUAAGGAGGCGCUAAGAACCAUUUCAAGAUAUAGUUUGUUUUCUUGCUCCAAGGGGUAGAAAAAUAAGAAUUUUAUAUGUGACUGGCAGUAGAAUGUGUCAAUUUUAACAGAUUUAUGUACUUACUCCGUAUACUUCAGGAUUGUUAGCAAUUUAAUGUAAUGGUCCAAGAGGAGGCCAUGUAUAUUGUAAGCCCAACUACGACUAAUCUUAGCCCCUUUAAACACCCUAUUUGGUGUUCAAUUUUAACACAGUUCAUUGUAGUAAAAAUGUAGCUGCUUCGACUUCCUUUGUGGACGUAAGUUGUCAAACCAAAUCGUGUAAACCUUGUAUUCUGAUAAUCUCUUGCUUCCA